rnacentral:rRNA from 1 species
UACAGAGGGUGCUGGCGUUGUUCGGAAUGACUGGGCGUAAAGGGCGCGUAGGCGGUUUAUCAAGUCAGAUGUGAAAGCCCUGGGCUUAACCUAGGAAUAGCAUUUGAUACUGGUUGACUGGAGUACGAGAGAGGGAAGUGGAAUUCCUAGUGUAGAGGUGAAAUUCGUAGAUAUUAGGAGGAACACCGGAGGCGAAGGCGGCUUCCUGGCUCGUAACUGACGCUGAGGCGCGAAAGCGUGGGGAGCAAACAGG